AGCAUUCAUUCCCUAAUAUUUAACCUAGACCACAGAUCAAGACUUUCAAUUCAAGAGCAUAACACAAACUUGUAAACGUUUACAGAAAACAGCCUAGAACUUUCUAAAGCGAAGCAAUCAAGUCCCUGGUUCGGGAAAACCGAUAACAGAAAAUUAACGACGAUAUUCCGGCAAAGGAAUCGCCGGCAUUAGAAAGAUUCAAAGAAUCAGAGCAAACCUUGGUUAUGGAGAAGAACAGACGGAAAGUGAAUUCCCGAACAAGAUUGGUUAGGAGAAGAGCUCAACGGUGACGAAGAGUAGAAGUUGCUGGAUGUCGUGGAUUCUGAGACAUGACGAUGGAGCCGAACUGAUUCGCUAGGCUAACUCCUCCUUCUGACUUGCCGCGCCAUAAGCGUUUCUCCGCCUCCGCUAGGAUUAAGGGAGCUCACCGUGCGUGGUUCCUCUGAGCUCACCGCAUCCGGACACCACCUCCACACAUCAUCGCUCUGCACGUCGUCGCCCUGCAUGAUUAUUCCUCUUCCUUCUGUUGUCAGGCCCGCACUCACCUCGGCCUUGCCGCGUCGCAGGUCCCUCCGCGACCGUCCUUGCCAAGGUACUGCCGUGCGCGACCUGGUCGCCCUUCGUGUGGGUCUGUCCCGAUCCGCCACGUCUCUUUUCCGCCCGCGCACGCCCGAACCGCGCGCGUUCUUGGCCCGCAUCGCACUGCUGCUCACGUGUCUGAAACCGCCUUGCACGUCAUUGCUCACUCCGGGUCGUUCACCUCCGCUCAAGUUCUGCUCCUGCACUCACACGCCCACGCCGCCUGCAUCUGUGCCGUGCUUACUCCGGCCGCCUAAUACCUGCACACCCUGCCAGCUUCUGCGCGUCACUACGCGCACGCUCGCGCCACCCGCUCAGCGUCACUCACGUUCUUGCCGCUCCAGCACCUGCACCGCCGAAACCAUGCCGCUCUAGCUCCCGUACUCGCUCGACGCCAGUUCGCUUGCGUCGCGCCGCAUCAGCUCACGCCGGAGUCGUUCGCGCCAACCCAGCUGCGGUCGUCGCUCGCGCGCUCUGCUCCCGCGCGCGUUCCGCACAUCAUCCUCUAUCGCAUGCCUCCGCUUGUGCCGUUCCACAUCCGCGCUCUGCCAGCACCUAGGCGCCGCUCACCCAGCUCCUACCGCGACCGCCUCUUCUGCUUGCGCCGGCCCUCGCCUGCUCCAGUUCACGCCAUCCACUACUGUGCCGAGCCACUGUCGUCCGCGUGCCUUCACUCGCCGCGCGCGCUUCGUUCACACGCGUUCUCCCAACUCCCGCUCUGGCUCCUGCGCCGCCGCGCCCACACGCCCGGCGCCCGCUACGGCCGUCAGUGCCGCGCCCCCUCGCUCUGGCGCCGCCCGAACGCCUGGCGUCCCGCUCGCCCUCCUGCGCCCCGCGUGCCGCCUGUCGCAGCUGCCCGCACGCCGCCCCGCCAGCCGCGCCGCACGCCACCCGCGUUGGGCCACCACCACCCCGCCUGCUGCUUGGGCCGCGGCCGCCUGCCGCACGCCCCGCGCACUGCCGCCGCCCAGCCUCGCGCGCGUGGACCGCUCGCCAGUGCUGCCGCCCAGCACCAGCGCCGCCUCCUGCUCGUUCCGCUUCCGCGCGCAGCACCGCGCCUGGCCGCUGCCGCCAGCCUCCGCGCGCUCCAGUGCCUGCGCGCCGCUCGGCCGCGCCGCCUGGCCCUGCCGCACACCAAGCCGAGCCGCCGCUCGCGCUCCUGCGACCGGCCGCCUGAGCCGCGCCGUAACCCGCGCGCCCCUGUGCGCCAGCUGCGCACCUGCGCUGGGCCCGCUCGCCGCCGGAGCUGUGUGCUCCCGUGCCGGCCUAGAGAAACGAGAGGGAGAGAGGAACAGGAGAUAAGGGCGCCGCCAGUGGAGGAUAAGAAGGAACAGAGAGAGGAAAAGCAGAGGAGGAAGGGAACAAGGAUUUCCCAAGGACCUUUGCGUAAUUUCCGAAAACUGCAGGGACCUGUUUGUAAAACAAAAUUUCCCGUUGAUUUAAAACCCAAAUGAAGAAAUACCCAAAACGAAAGUUGGAGAGUUUUUCAAACUCUACAAUAUUGCUUUAGGGCCCAAGUUCAAAAAUUCGAAACUUAUAUUUUUACACGUGAAUCUUUGAACAAAAGUCGGAUUUGAAUUGUUUUUGUCCUAAAAAAUGAAAUUUUAUAAAAUUCAGAACCUAAAUGCAAGCAUUUAUGACACGUCAUAAUGACGGGAUAGACUCGUCAUGAUGACUUGCACUUUUACACUUUAGCCCUGAGUAAUUUUGAAAGUUACUUUUGUAAAUGAAACAUUUGCAUAAAAGGACUUGUACUUUCAUAGAAUUACAUAAACACCCUUAUUUUUACCAUUUUACCCUAACUUUUUACCCACUUCAACAUAUGCAUUUCAAAUGCAACUUUUGGGUAAAUAAAUAUAUAUUUUUACAAGAGAUAAAAUAAGGAAAACAUGUUUACAAAACCACCUUUCACUUAUUUUAAAAUUAUCCUUUCCCAAAUACAUUUUACAAAAACAUCCCUAGGUUUUUCUAUAAUUACAAAAACACCCCUUUCUACUUGCACUUUAAAUUUUCAAAAACUUCACACAAACACACACAAGCUUUAUACUAACAAAUACAUAUUUCAUACUAACAAAAUAUAUGCCUAGCAUUACAAAUGCACGAACUGUCACAGCCCUCCCCCCUAAAAAGAAUCUCGUCCCGAGAUUCGGACGAAAGACUUUUAAGGGAAGAGAAGCAAAUCACCCAUCAAAAGCAGCUGAAAACAAUCACACCAGAGAAGAUUGAUGAUGAUGGUAGAAACCGUUGAAGUGUAGCAAGAUGAGUAUAACGAGAGCAUGGAUAGAUUGUACUUAGAUGAGUUUGACAAGAUAAGAAAGGAAAAGGUGAUCAAGUUUUCCCAGAGCUAAGAUCACAACUUGACGACGUCAAAUGUCAGCGACAUUCGUCAUAAAACUUAUGGAUAGCAAAUGAAGAUAACACAAGAGAUUGAUAAAUGAUGUUUGAAACAUUCUUGCUCAGAGUUUAUUGCCUAAAUGAUGAAGAUGAGGUUGAUUGCAAAACAAGUCUAUUUAUACCGAUGCAAUUAAGGAAUAAUGACAAAAUGCUUUACUCAGAGUACAAUGCUCGAUAUAUAACCAUGAAUGUGAUGCACCGUUGUAAUGUAUGAUUGCAAUGAUGGUGCAACACGAGGAUGGAGGAUUCCAUGCACGACUGAAAUGGUGCAUAUGACACAAUGCAAUUAUCAUGAUGCUGACCAAAUGAUGCAUACACCAUGAUGCAAGGAUGAUGAUACUUGCAAUGUAUGUACGUAUGAAAUGCAUGAAGUAUGAUGCAUACCCUCAUGAGUUGAUGAUGCAUAUGACUCGCACUCUGCAACUGUUCGCUCGUAACUAACACCUGAGUAGUCCUAUAGCCUUAGACAAAGAUUAGAAGUUAGGACACUAGUAAGGUUGCAUAAGAAGAGUUUGCAGUGGGGUUACGUCACAUAAACCUAGUCACCAGUGCGCCCCUAAUGGCUCAAUCAUAUGGCUGCAGCACACAUGAGGCCUUAGGUCCCGACACGGCAUCAUGGUCAUGUGAAUAAACACCACCACAAAAGAGGAAUAGCAACCUUGUAGUGCCAACAGCAGCAAGAUAGGUUUAGGAAACUGAAGACAACCCGAAGUUGCACUAGAGGUAUACCCGUUAGUCAGUCUACAGAUUGUCGAUGACGAUGCAACUCCAUACACUGACCAAAGAUGACAUAUGUUAUGAUGCAUAACUUUUGCCAUAAAUCUUUUUAUUUUAUUCAAAAUCAUCUGAGCAAAAAUUGAAGGUACAAAUUUUCAGAUGUUGUAACCGAAAUAGCCAACAACAUAAGGUACAACAUCAUGAAAGGAUGGAUAAAUCACUGAAUGAUGAAUUGAAGGGUUUGUUGAUGAUUAUCAAAAUGUAACCAUCAAAGGAAGGAAUUCAAUGGUUCUGCCGAAACAGAUUUAAAACGAGAUCAAGGAUUUGAUUUAGCGGUCAAGCUAAGAUCGACGAUAAGGUCCAAACAUGACCCAACUGAUUUGAUUCACUAAAGACUUUCCCAACUCUAGGAUAGCCUAUCAGAUUAUGUCAGCUCCUACCACACAAAGUCAAAACAAGCAUUCAGAUACAAGCGCAUAUUAGUACAUCAACGUAUCAAACAAAGCAAUCAGGUCAAUCCAAGAUAUCAUAAUGUAUGCACGUUCUACACGUCCUCACAAACAAAAAUAACUGCCAAGUAAUCUUGGUCUUACGUGGUUAAGUACGGUGGCAUCAUAUAAAUAUGUCUCUCCCUAUAUAUAUACUAGUCGUUCUUACGUUCAAGCUUACGUAACGAGGUUAGCAUACCUGCAGAAAAUCACAAUAUAUAUAUGUUGAACCUUUCAUGCCAGCAUGUCAUGAAAGCGUCCCCAAUCAUUACUGUUCACUAUAGAAACAGCAUCUGUACAAUUACCGCCGUACAGACAACGUUAACAUACGUUAUCGAGAUAACGUAUUCACGGGGGUACCGCAAAAUGCGGGGGUAUGAUCUGCGAUCGCCAUACCCUGCGCCGAACCAUAUACUCCCAAUGUAGUCAACCAAGGUUGGUACAUUGGCAGCAUCUCAAGUAGGCCACUGCUUGAGAAACAGCGUUCGGUUCGCAUCACCGACAGGAAGGCCAAGCUCCCUCAGUUGGCUGAGGAUCCUUACCUUCUUACCUCACCAUCGAAGAUGUCAUUACAGAAAGUAAGGUUGGGUUGUGCAUGAAUUUAAGUUUUGACAGAAAAAUAAUGCUGGUAGUAGGGUUAUAUAUAUAUUUAGCCACCUCUAUUUCCCUCAUAAACAUUACCCUAGGGCUUUACGUACUAAACUCAGUCCUUAACAAAUCCAACGCAGCUUUGCCAAACAUUUUGUGGGUCAAACUUUUAUACUGAAAGCAUUUUUAAGGUAAAAUGUAUCUCCAGGGUAACCUUAUAGCUCUGAUACCAGCUGUGGCAGAACCAACCUGAAUUAUACCGGCUCAAGUACGCGAGUCCAAUCCUGAGGGCUCCAACGUGCUUCAAACGGUAUAAUCCCUUGGCCUGUCGGGUAACGUCCCGAUAAACCACCGAUACACAGGAUCAAAUAAGGUUACCUCACACGAAGGUGAGUCCAGAGAUACAAUCACCAUCAUAUUUUACAUCACAGAGGAUUACAUGACAAGAGUUUCCCAAAAGAAGUACGAAGUUUCAAAUCUAGAGAGAACAUUACAAACUUUUAAAGUUAAGGUUCUUAGCAGCGGAAAACAUACGCGACGAUUCCUAACACGUCGUCCAGACGGAUGCCAUGCUAAGCCCGGGCACGACAUCACUCGAUAUCACCAGUGCUGGCCGGGGACGAAUCCCAUUCCACGGACCAAUCAUCUGGAAGAGCACAGGGCCAUGACAGGGAAAGAGUAGGGUCUUCAAAGGCUUUACCUGAAAAACAUAAAACUAGCAAGGCUGAGUAUACUAAUACUCAGCAAGGCUUACCCGGGAUUGGAUAUACUUUAGCCCAUAACUAGACUCAUGAAAGCAUUGUAAAGGCUCUGGGUUCAUUUUCAGCUGAAAAGCAACAAAGAGUAUGAACUACUUUCAAGUUUUAGCUUUCAUCUUCUAGUUGAGUAAUUAUUCUAGAUUAGCACCUCCACUAAGCAAGCAAGGUAGUGAUUAUCUUCCAUCAAGAUUAUCCAUCAUUAGUUCCACUUCUUACUCAAUGUGGUAAAAGGGAUAAGCAGUCUCAAGCAUCGUGAGAGGCGGAUGAUUCGAAUCGAAUUUAACCUUGCAAGGUAAACCUAACACACACGCUUGGGAUUACCGGCAGGGCUUUCCGAAGCAACCGUUUACCUUUCAUUCCGACUCGUGGGCAGGCCACCACAAGCGACUUGCAGGACCGUACGCACAUCACUCGUGCAGGACAUACGUCUGUAGCGCGACUACAAAACCCGUAUUCCUGUCUGCCAUGCAGAACGUACUCCCACAGGUCGGUGCGUGAAAAGAACCAAAUAGAUCGAGUGGUGGAAAUAUACCCACUUGCCGGGCCGAUCGGUUACUAGGCUUACCGCUUUACCAUAUUUCGCGGCAUGUGGCUAGUACUGUUCAAACGCUUAGCCACCACUACCAUACAUUUCGGCCUUAAAACUUUUAUCAAAACAGACAGGGUAAACUUCCAGGUCAUGAUACAGCACAUGACCCUGUCCGUCAUCCUUAUAGUGGUUGCAGUAAUGUAAACAGGCAACUCCUAUAUCGCGCGAGUGACAGGAAAUCACCCGACUUCUACCGGUCCUAUUAGCGGAGCAUCUAUCCGAUAAGGACUCGGGAGCAUUACAUUGGAUUCCUAGGAUUCAUGCAUCUAGGGUUUCACUUCAAUUCCUAGACUUAAUGCAAGAUAUAAUAUAGAUAGACAUAGAUGGCAGUGUAAAUAAAAUAGUGGGAUAUGUCCGGGGCUUGCCUUUACUGGUGGGUCUGAAGUCAGAAAUGUCAAUAUCUUCCGAACUUUGGUUCGGGGCUUCAGUCAGUUCCUUGAUGACGUUCACUUGAUCUUCAGGAAUAUCCUCCGCAGACUCCUGGGAGAUCUCGUAGGUACCGUUUGUAGAAGUAGUCGUAUCUACAUGCAAUGCAACAUUACAUUCAAAUGUAUAUACAAAACUAUUUUACUUCACAAUAAAGUUGCAAUCCAACAUUCACGUAACAUACUACUCAUAUAACAACCAAAAAGAUCUGAACUAAAUCUAGACAGAGCUUUAGGGGGACAACUAACUAGAAUCGGCUACUCGUUGAAGAUUACAACAGAGCCGAUGGGAACAACAUGGAUUUAGCCGAUUGAUGAGUGCAUUGGGUUCUUAGAUGAUCGAUGAAAGCAUCGAUUACUUUGGCAGAAGGAUGAUUCCUAAAGCAGUUGUGUCUUAACCGAGAUGUGCUUAAGUGUUAUCCUAGGUAACUAAGUGUGGUUGCAUCGACUUGUUUACGUUAGCACCAUAAGUGGGUGACGUAUAGCCGAUUGGAGUGUGGUUGAGGAUAUAUGACCGAUAGAUAUAGAUAGCCGAUCUCUCAAUCGAUAAAUCGGCGGAUAGAAGUGUGUGGAUAAGGAUAGGAAAACUAAGGAUCGAUCGGCCAUAACCGAUAUGGUAAACGACUAGAAUCGGCUUGGUUCGGCCGAUGGCAAUAACCCUAAGAUCGUGGGUAUCUUUCCGAUACGACUUUGCGCAGUCGAUGUAGGACAGAACAAAAGGAUUGUAUCGGCAGUAGCCGAUACUAGAAAGGUAACAAUCGUAUCAGCUAAUCAGCCGAUGGUAGAAGUAUCGACUGACAGCUGUUACGCAGAAACAUCAUAAGCUCAAGAAAACUGAUGUUUAGCGGCUGAACUGAUAGCCAACGCCAAAGCAUAAUCGCAGAGAUGUUUUGGCUAUGCAGCAGACAUACAAGAACUAACGGGGAUCCUUAUACGACAAAAAAAACCUUAAAGAAACAGCAAUCAAGACGAGGACAACGUCUUGACGGUAGAGAUAUGAGCGUUCGUGUGAUGGAUUAACUAAUUACCACACUUUUCCGCUUGAAACAUACAUCCUAUGAUUUAUCUUUCAGCUAAAACACAUGCAUACAGUAUAUGGUACAAACAAAGCAUUCAUUCCCUAAUAUUUAACCUAGACCACAGAUCAAGACUUUCAAUUCAAGAGCAUAACACAAACUUGUAAACGUUUACAGAAAACACCCUAGAACUUUCUAAAGCGAAGCAAUCAAGUCCCUGGUUCGGGAAAACCGAUAACAGAAAAUUAACGACGAUAUUCCGGCAAAGGAAUCGCCGGCAUUAGAAAGAUUCAAAGAAUCAGAGCAAACCUUGGUUAUGGAGAAGAACAGACGGAAAGUGAAUUCCC
rnacentral:lncRNA from 1 species